rnacentral:rRNA from 1 species
GAUGAACGCUAGCUACAGGCUUAACACAUGCAAGUCGAGGGACCGGCGCACGGGUGAGUAACACGUAUCCAACCUGCCCUUUACUCGGGGAUAGCCUUUCGCAAGAAAGAUUAAUACCCGAUAUAAAGGAUGGGGAUGCGUUCCUUUAGGUUGUUGGUGAGGUAACGGCCCACCAAGCCUUCGAUGGCUAGGGGUUCUGAGAGGAAGGUACCCACGAGUGGAACUGAGGCACGGUCCAAACUCCUACGGGAGGGAGCAGUGAGGAAUAGUGGGCAAUGGGCGUUAGCGUGAACCAGCCAAGUAGCGUGAAGGAUGAAGGCUUAUGGGUCGUAAACUUCUUUUAUAUAAGAAUAUGUAUUAUAUGAAUAAGGAUCGGCUAACUCCGUGCCAGCAGCCGCGGUAAUAC